UACGUAGGGCGCAAGCGUUAUCCGGAAUUAUUGGGCGUAAAGAGCUCGUAGGCGGUUUGUCGCGUCUGCCGUGAAAGUCCGGGGCUCAACUCCGGAUCUGCGGUGGGUACGGGCAGACUAGAGUGAUGUAGGGGAGACUGGAAUUCCUGGUGUAGCGGUGAAAUGCGCAGAUAUCAGGAGGAACACCGGUGGCGAAGGCGGGUCUCU
rnacentral:rRNA from 1 species